rnacentral:tRNA from 1 species
GUGUGUAUGGUGUAAAUAACACAUUAACUUUUCAUGUUAAAAAUAUAUAUCAAUAUUACACAC